rnacentral:rRNA from 1 species
GAACUAAACCUAGCCCUAACAUAAACUCAACUCAACUAUACCUUAUAAUAAAACAAAACAUUUGACACCAAGCUAGUAUUGGAGAAAGAAAACCUUAUUAGGCGCUAUAGAGGAAGUACCGCAAGGGAAAGAUGAAAGAAGAAUUAAAAGUAAAAACAAGCAAAGAUUAAACCUUGUACCUUUUGCAUAAUGAGUUAACUAGAAUACAUCUAACUAAGAGAACUUAAGCUAGACACCCCGAAACCAAACGAGCUACCUAAGAGCAGAACAAAGAACAAACCCGUCUAUGUGGCAAAAUAGUGGGAAGACUUUUAGGUAGAGGUGAAAAGCCUACCGAGCUUGGUGAUAGCUGGUUACCCAACAAAGAAUUUUAGUUCAACUUUAAGACUACCAUAAGAUAUUUUAAUCAAAAUGUAAUCUUAAAACUUAGCCUAAAGAGGGACAGCUCUUUAGGAAUGGAAACAACCUUAUAUAGUGAAUAAAUCUUCAAAUACCAAGAUCAUCGUUGGCCUAAAAGCAGCCACCAAUAAAGAAAGCGUUAAAGCUCAACACUGUAUUACAUAAAAUUCCACAAACAACAAUGACUUCCUAUAAAUCCUAACUGGGUUAAUCUAUACAAGUAUAGAUGAAAUUAUGUUAACAUGAGUAACAAGAACACUGUUCUCCAAGCACAAGCCUAUAACAACCCGGAUAACCAUUGUUAAUUAACACCCAAAGGCGAAAAAUUACUAAUAAAGUUCACCUAACACAAAAUGUUAAUCCAACACAGGCGUGCAACAAGGAAAGAUUAAAAGAAGUAAAAGGAACUCGGCAAACAAGAAUCCCGCCUGUUUACCAAAAACAUCACCUCUAGCAUAAAAAGUAUUAGAGGCACCGCCUGCCCAGUGACAUAAGUUAAACGGCCGCGGUAUCCUGACCGUGCAAAGGUAGCAUAAUCACUUGUUCCUUAAUUGGGGACUGGAAUGAAUGGCUUCACGAGGAUUCAACUGUCUCUUACUUCCAAUCAGUGAAAUUGACCUUCCCGUGAAGAGGCGGGAAUGCUACAAUAAGACGAGAAGACCCUAUGGAGCUUUAAUUUACUGACUUAACUUUUAAUAACCCACAACCCUAAUGGAUUAAAAAACAAGCAAUAAGUAAGUAAUUUCGGUUGGGGUGAUCUCGGAGAAUAAAUCAACCUCCGAAAGAUUUUAACUAAGACACACAAGUCAAAGUAACAACAAUCUAAUUGACCCAAUUCAUUUGAUCAACGGACCAAGUUACCCUAGGGAUAACAGCGCAAUCCUAUUCAAGAGUCCAUAUCGACAAUUAGGGUUUACGACCUCGAUGUUGGAUCAGGACAUCCCAAUGGUGCAGCAGCUAUUAAUGGUUCGUUUGUUCAACGAUUAAAGUCCUACGUGAUCUGAGUUCAGACCGGAGUAAUCCAGGUCGGUUUCUAUCUAUUUACUAUUUCUCCCAGUACGAAAGGAUAAGAGAAAUAGGGCCUCCUUAACAAAAGCGCCCUAAAGCCAAUAAAUGAAAUUAUCUUAAUCUAGUGAACUAGUAUCAUAUAACCCUAGACAAGGGUUC